rnacentral:rRNA from 1 species
CAAAAGUUUGAUCCUGACUUUACUAUUAACGAAAGCUUUACUUACACAUGCAAGUAUCCGCCCCCCAGUGAAGAUGCCCUCAUCUCCCCUUACGGGACAGAGGAGCUGGUAUCAGGCACACCUCAAGUAUGCCCACCACGCCUUGCUUAGCCACACCCCCAAGGGACUUCAGCAGUGAUAAACAUUAAGCCAUAAGUGUAAACUUGACUUAGUCAAAGCUAAGAGGGCCGGUAAAAUUCGUGCCAGCCACCGCGGUUAUACGAAUAAGGCACAAGUUAAUAGACCAACGGCGUAAAGCGUGGUUAGAGACUACCUCAAAAUAAAGUCGAAAGCCUUUUGGGCCGUUCCAAGUGUACAAAGGCACGAAGCUCCACUACGAAAGUGACUUUACAACAAAGACCCUUGAAUCCACGAAAGCUUAGGUACAAACUGGGAUUAGAUACCCCACUAUGCUAAGCCUUAAACAUAGACAUACUCUGUCCGCCAGGGUAUUACGAGCAUCAGCUUAAAACCCAAAGGACUUGGCGGUACUUUACACCCACCUAGAGGAGCCUGUCCUAUAACCCGAUAGUCCCCGUUAAACCUUACCCCUUCUUGUUCAUUCCCGCCUAUAUACCGCCGUCGUCAGCCUACCCUGUGAAGGUUUGAAAGAACGCUCAAUUGGUAUAACCCAAAACGUCAGGUCGAGGUGUAGCGAAUGAAGGGGAAAGAGAUGGGCUACAUUUUCUGUAUCAGAAAAUUACUGAAGGGUAGAAUGAAACAAACCCUGAAGGAGGAUUUAGCAGUAAGUCUAGAAUAGAGUGCUAGACUGAAGCCGGCCAUAAAGUGCGCACACACCGCCCGUCACUCUCCCUAGAAACAUUAAUUAUAGAACUUAACACAAAUACUAUUCAAAAGGGAGGCAAGUCGUAACAUGGUAAGUGUACCGGAAGGUGCACUUGGAAAA